GACGGGGAGCACCACAACGGGUGGAGCUUGCGGUUUAAUGGAUUCAACGCCGGAAGUCUUACCGGGACCGACAGCAAUAUGAAGGCCAGGCUGAAGACUUUGCCGGAUUAGCUGAGAGGUGGUGCAUGGCCGUCGUCAGUUCGUACUGUGAAGCAUCCUGUUAAGUCAGGCAACGAGCGAGACCCACGCCCACAGUUGCCAGCGUACUCUCUGGAGUGACGGGUACACUGUGGGGACCGCCGCUGCUAAAGCGGAGGAAGGAAUGGGCAACGGUAGGUCAGCAUGCCCCGAAUUAUCCGGGCUACACGCGGGCUACAAUGGUCAGGACAAUGGGUAUCGACACCGAGAGGUGGAGGCAAUCUCCUAAACCUGUCCUUAGUUCGGAUUGUGGGCUGCAACUCGCCCACAUGAAGCUGGAAUCCGUAGUAAUCGCGUUUCAAAAUAGCGCGGUGAAUAUGUCCCUGCUCCUU
rnacentral:rRNA from 1 species